rnacentral:rRNA from 1 species
AUGCAAGUCGAGCGGAAGGCCCUUCGGGGUACUCGAGCGGCGAACGGGUGAGUAACACGUGAGCAACCUGCCCUUGGCUCUGGGAUAGCUCCGGGAAACCGGGAUUAAUACCGGACAUGACCUCCUGCCGCAUGGCGGGGGGUGGAAAGUUUUUCGGCCAGGGAUGGGCUCGCGGCCUAUCAGCUUGUUGGCGGGGUAGUGGCCCACCAAGGCGACGACGGGUAGCCGGCCUGAGAGGGCGACCGGCCACACUGGGACUGAGACACGGCCCAGACUCCUACGGGAGGCAGCAGUGGGGAAUAUUGCGCAAUGGGCGGAAGCCUGACGCAGCGACGCCGCGUGCGGGAUGAAGGCCUUCGGGUUGUAAACCGCUUUCAGCAGGGACGAAGCGGGAGUGACGGUACCUGCAGAAGAAGCGCCGGCUAACUACGUGCCAGCAGCCGCGGUAAUACGUAGGGCGCGAGCGUUGUCCGGAAUUAUUGGGCGUAAAGAGCUCGUAGGCGGCCAGUUGCGUCCGCUGUGAAAUCCCGGGGCUUAACCCCGGGCGUGCGGUGGAUACGGGCUGGCUGGAGGCAGGCAGGGGAGAACGGAAUUCCUGGUGUAGCGGUGAAAUGCGCAGAUAUCAGGAGGAACACCGGUGGCGAAG